rnacentral:rRNA from 1 species
AGAUUAAACUAAAGAGUUUGAUCCUGGCUCAGAUUGAACGCUGGCGGCAUGCCUUACACAUGCAAGUCGAACGGCAGCACGGAGCUUGCUCUGGUGGCGAGUGGCGAACGGGUGAGU